UACGAAGGGGGCUAGCGUUGCUCGGAAUCACUGGGCGUAAAGCGCACGUAGGCGGAUCUUUAAGUCAGGGGUGAAAUCCUGGAGCUCAACUCCAGAACUGCCUUUGAUACUGGGGAGCUCGAGUCCGGAAGAGGUGAGUGGAACUCCGAGUGUAGAGGUGAAAUUCGUAGAUAUUCGGAAGAACACCAGUGGCGAAGGCGGCUCACUGGUCCGGUACUGACGCUGAGGUGCGAAAGCGUGGGGAGCAAACAGGG
rnacentral:rRNA from 1 species